UCUGCGGUCCAUGGUCAGCAUCACAGCAACCCCUGUCUAUUGCGUACAGGGAGCUCUUUCCCAUUGUUGUGGCUGCAUACUUAUGGGGUCCUCAGUGGUCUUCUAGGCGGGUCGAGUUCCUGUGUGACAAUGAGUCGGUGGUGGCUGUUCUGUCUUCUGGUACCUUCCGGGACUCUAAAUUAAUGUUUUUGAUGCAUUUUUUAGCAUUGUUGGCAGUGCGCCGUUCGUUUUCCUUUAAGGCCUCAUCUGUUACCGACACUCUUUUACAUUUUCAGUUUCAAAGAUUCAGACGCCUGGCCCCUUGGGUGGGCCUUGCUGCGGCCCCAGGUCCUCUGGAUCUCCUCAAAGCCCUGCUUGUCACUUGCCCUUUCUUCAACUCACCCGGGGCCUCCGUCCGGGGCUCCCAGGGCCACGUCGUGCUCUGGGCGGCAUGCUGCCUUGGUUUCUUUGGUUUCUUGCAUGCUGAUGGGUUUGCAGCUAACUCUCUGUUUGAUCCAAGCGUUGGCCUGGGGGUUAGUGAUGUGCAGGCCAAUACCCUGCAGGUGCUUGAGGACGGAUCUUUUUCGCGUUGGCUGCUGCCUCUGCAUCGGUCAGCGCAGUAAUGUCGUCUCCCCUUUGGUAGCUCUGGGCAAUUUCUUGGCUGUGUGUGGCCCUUCCCCAGGGCCAUUGUUUUGUUUUGCUGAUGGUCGUCCCUUAACACGCCAACUGCUGUCUUUGGUAGGCUGCUCGGGUAGUUGCUCUGGCCAUAGCUUCCGGAUUAGUGCUGCCACUACAGCACCUUCCUGGGGACUGCCAGAUCACCUGAUUAAGACUUGAGGUCGCUGGUCUAGUGGCGUUUGUCAGCACUGUGUCUGCACAUCGGCUGGCUCUCUUGGCGGGCUGGUGUAUCAGCGUAGCAGGUUUGGCGUUUAUGAGUUUUCUUUUACUUGGGUUGGGUGCCUCAGGUCUGGCCCCUUGGGAGCUGUGGCUUAUGGGCCAUGAGCCCCCAUCUCUCCAGUCUGGGUCAGCCUAGAGGCCCUUUUGGCAGGGGAGGUGGGGAUUGUGGCUGGGUUGCAGGGAAGGGCAGGCUUUUGAGAUGCUCUUGCUACCUGAGUUUGGGGUGGGCAGCUCCAGCCCCCAGGUUCCUGGGCACCCAACCUCCCUGUGUGACUCGCGCAUUAAAUGAGGUUAAAUAUACUUAUUUAACUUAGUUAACGACAAGGAGCAUGUUGCUCAGUAGUUGGCGUGGCGUUGGCAUGGCAUUGGCAUUUAUUAGCGUUUUUGGUGGCAUGAUGUGGCAUUUGGUUUGUUGCUUGGGUUUGCGUUACUGUAGUAGGCCUGGUGCGGAGCAGUUUCCUGUGCCCCCGGGUCAGUGGUUUAUUGUUGCAAUUUAUCCAUGUGCCUUUACAUGUGGUUGUAGUUUUUACUGUGCGAAGUCUUCGGGGCAUCUUGAUCAGUUUUAGAGUUUCUUUAGUGUUUGCUCCCAUCCUCCUCACCCUUUGUUAUUAUUACCUUAUUUAUUAUUACUGAAUUAGUAUGUUUAUUGUUUAUUUUGUUAUUUAUUAUUAUUGUUAUUAUUGUUAUUAUUAUUAUUAUUAUUUUUAUUGUUUGUUAUUGUUAUUAUUUUUAUUAUUUCCUCUGAGCUCCUGGCUUUGUGUGACAGGUGCUUACCCUGGGGCUGGGUAUGAGGAAUUCAUAAAAAAAGGCUGACAUUUUAAAUUUUUAUAUCGUGCUUGAGUAGGAUGCAAUUUCAUUUUGAACACUGUUUUCAUAAAUCUAGACAUACUGUGUAUACAGUAAACUGGAUGCUAAUUUGUCAGCAGAAUUGAAUAAUUUUACUAAGCUGAUACUGAUAAAAACAUAUUUUUUCUUGUCUAUUCUUAUCCACUUUAGAGAUACUCAAGAAUCAAGCUUUUGCUGCAUACAUGUAAAGUUCUCAUUUAUUACUGAUGGUGUGAACUGAUAUUGGCAAAGCAGAUCAUCACAAUGUCUAAAGCUGCAACCAACGCUAGCAGCAGUUCAGAGGAUGAUGUUGCUUUUAAAGAAGGCAAACCUGAUGACCUUGAACUAGAUGAGCUGGCGGGAAAGAUUGCUGCAAAGUGGCAGGAGCUAGGACUUCACCUUGGCAUUUGUCAGGAUGUACUGGACGAAAUACAGGCUAAUCAAGAAAGAA
rnacentral:lncRNA from 1 species